rnacentral:rRNA from 1 species
AGCUAGGGAGCGGUGUUGACUGGUGAUUAUCAUUUGUAACACUCCUAGCAAAUCACUAUACAGUGGAAAUCGAAUGAUAAUUCGGGGUUAAAUAUAGUACUCUAUGCAUGUCGAGGAAGGAGGUCAAGCCCUAACAACUAAUCGACGGCCCUACAGAACAUCAUGUAUUGGGGAGAUGCAUGCUCACCCAGGUGAAGGCUAUGGUAGCCGGCCUGUGAGGGGGGAUCGGGCCACAGUGGGAGAUGAGAACACGGGCCCAGACUCCUACGGGAGGCAGCAGUGUGGGAAAUUUUUUACAAAGGGGUGAAAGUUGAAAGAGCCAUGCCGCGUGCAAGAAAAAGGCUUUUGGGAUUAAAAAACUGUUGUUUAGAGAGAACAAGCAUGUUAGGAUAAGGUCGUCUCCUGACGGUACUUUACCAGAAAGCCCCGGCUAACUACGUGCCAGCAGCCGCGGUAAUACGUAGGGGGCAAGCGUUGUUCGGAAUUAUUGGGCGUAAAGCGAGCGCAGGCGGUUCUUUAAGUCUGAUGUGAAAGCCCCCGGCUCAACCGGGGAGGGUCAUUGGAAACUGGAGAACUAGAGUGCGGAAGAGGAGAGUGGAAUUCCACGUGUAGCGGUGAAAUGCGUAGAUAUGUGGAGGAACACCAGUGGCGAAGGCGACCCUCUGGUCCCUAACUGACGGUUAGACUUGCAAGCGUGGGGAGCAAACAGG